rnacentral:rRNA from 1 species
MUACGUGCCAGCAGCCGCGGUAAUACGUAGGUGGCAAGCGUUGUCCGGAAUUAUUGGGCGUAAAGCGCGCGCAGGCGGAUUGGUCAGUCUGUCUUAAAAGUUCGGGGCUUAACCCCGUGAUGGGAUGGAAACUGCCAAUCUAGAGUAUCGGAGAGGAAAGUGGAAUUCCUAGUGUAGCGGUGAAAUGCGUAGAUAUUAGGAAGAACACCAGUGGCGAAGGCGACUUUCUGGACGAAAACUGACGCUGAGGCGCGAAAGCCAGGGGAGCGAACGGGAUUAGAUACCCCGGUAGUCCUGGCCGUAAACGAUGGGUACUAGGUGUAGGAGGUAUCGACCCCUUCUGUGCCGGAGUUAACGCAAUAAGUACCCCGCCUGGGGAGUACGACCGCAAGGUUGAAACUCAAAGGAAUUGACGGGGGCCCGCACAAGCGGUGGAGUAUGUGGUUUAAUUCGACGCAACGCGAAGAACCUUACCAGGUCUUGACAU